rnacentral:rRNA from 1 species
ACGAUGAACCCAGCUUGCUGGGUGGAUUAGUGGCGAACGGGCUGAGUAACACGUGAGUAACCUGCCCUUGACUCUGGGAUAAGCCUGGGAAACUGGGUCUAAUACUGGAUAUGACUUCUCACCGCAUGGUGGGGGGUGGAAAGAUUUAUUGGUCUUGGAUGGACUCGCGGCCUAUCAGCUUGUUGGUGAGGUAAUGGCUCACCAAGGCGACGACGGGUAGCCGGCCUGAGAGGGUGACCGGCCACACUGGGACUGAGACACGGCCCAGACUCCUACGGGAGGCAGCAGUGGGGAAUAUUGCACAAUGGGCGCAAGCCUGAUGCAGCGACGCCGCGUGAGGGAUGACGGCCUUCGGGUUGUAAACCUCUUUCAGUAGGGAAGAAGCGAAAGUGACGGUACCUGCAGAAGAAGCGCCGGCUAACUACGUGCCAGCAGCCGCGGUAAUACGUAGGGCGCGAGCGUUAUCCGGAAUUAUUGGGCGUAAAGAGCUCGUAGGCGGUUUGUCGCGUCUGCCGUGAAAGUCCGGGGCUUAACCCCGGAUCUGCGGUGGGUACGGGCAGACUAGAGUGCAGUAGGGGAGACUGGAAUUCCUGGUGUAGCGGUGAAAUGCGCAGAUAUCAGGAGGAACACCGAUGGCGAAGGCAGGUCUCUGGGCUGUAACUGACGCUGAGGAGCGAAAGCAUGGGGAGCGAACAGGAUUAGAUACCCUGGUAGUCCAUGCCGUAAACGUUGGGCACUAGGUGUGGGGGACAUUCCACGUUUUCCGCGCCGUAGCUAACGCAUUAAGUGCCCCGCCUGGGGAGUACGGCCGCAAGGCUAAAACUCAAAGGAAUUGACGGGGGCCCGCACAAGCGGCGGAGCAUGCGGAUUAAUUCGAUGCAACGCGAAGAACCUUACCAAGGCUUGACAUGUUCCUGACCGCCGUAGAGAUACGGUUUCCCCUUUGGGGCAGGUUCACAGGUGGUGCAUGGUUGUCGUCAGCUCGUGUCGUGAGAUGUUGGGUUAAGUCCCGCAACGAGCGCAACCCUCGUUCCAUGUUGCCAGCACGUAGUGGUGGGGACUCAUGGGAGACUGCCGGGGUCAACUCGGAGGAAGGUGGGGACGACGUCAAAUCAUCAUGCCCCUUAUGUCUUGGGCUUCACGCAUGCUACAAUGGCCGGUACAAUGGGUUGCGAUACUGUGAGGUGGAGCUAAUCCCAAAAAGCCGGUCUCAGUUCGGAUUGGGGUCUGCAACUCGACCCCAUGAAGUCGGAGUCGCUAGUAAUCGCAGAUCAGCAACGCUGCGGUGAAUACGUUCCCGGGCCUUGUACACACCGCCCGUCAAGUCACGAAAGUUGGUAACACCCGAAGCCGGUGGCCUAACCCUGGGGGGAGCCUC